UAAUUAUAACCAUAAUGAAGAGUUUCUUACAAUUAUUCGUUUUAUAUUUUUAUGGACUGGACUAAUAUCAUUUGGCAAAAAUUGCACGUGAUUCGACACCAAUCUGAGCGAAAUCCAUUCAACUGGUUUAGAAUAAAGGAAUGCAAUCAUUUGCAUGAAGUUAGGAUUGACACUGAGAUUAUACAGCAUGUUAGAUUUCUUCCAUCAGGCAGUCAGCUGUUAAUUACCAGCCGUGCUACAAUGCAUUACCAGUCAGCUGCUCUUGGCAUUGCAUUCAGGGGAGAAAAGAAAAGGAAUCACUUCCAGGGCACUGUGAGCCCAUUUCCUCAGCUCCCCAACCCCCAACCCCCCUCCACAACCAGCGACCCUCCUGCUGAUGGAUGUGUGAGUGGACAGAGAGAGAGAGAGAGAGAGAGAGGGAGAGAGAGAGAGAGUGGUGGGGGGCGUACGUGCUAAACAGUACACUAGCAUACUACAGUAUGUAAAUAGUAUGUCAGAAUAGUAGGCUAGGUGAAGCCAGUAGGCUAGCACUGGUCACACUGAAUAGUCUAAUGGUGGUGGAGUAACAGAAGAGGGUUGUGGGUGCAGUCACAGAGGCAGUGGAGGAACUGGAAUACAGUUCAUUCCGACAGUUUGGGGGGUAACGGAUACUUGAUGACGCUGUUUAGUGCGUGAGUGUGCGGGGUUGGACUCAGAGGCAGGGGGAAGGUGAGGCAGAUCAGCUCUUCCAUAAGCUCCAUGUUAAGCAUGAAAACACGUUUUGUGUUCAGAGAAACAGGCUGACUAACUCCAGGAAGCCAUACUGCAGCCUGUGAGAACAUUAACAUUAAAAUAAAAAAAAACACCUUGAUUUAUUUGUUUUGAAGAACAGAGCUGAGAGUGAUGAAGGGAAAAAAAACGAUCAAGACUCUUUUUCCUCAUUUGGACGGAUGAUGAGCUUUGAGACGGAAGUGUCGCGCGCUUUAUUUGGCGGAGGGAAUAAAUAAAUAGAGAGAGAGAGAGAGAGAGAGAGAGACUCUCUAAACCCGCGCGGCUGCCUGGAUUCUGGCCAGAACUUUAAUAUUCGCUUUCUGCUUUUAUUUGUUCGCUUUAAUUUGGUGAUUAAUAACAUUGAGCACUAGUUCUACUACCUAACUGAGGUGUAAGUGCAUGAAGCGACCUCAGAUUCCACUGCUGCUGGGGUUUAGUCAAAAUACUAGCAAUAUUUCUUAAUUAGAAAAAAAUAGUUUUGUAAUUUGGAAAUUGCACAUCCUGCUAAUUGGUCUCAGUAAUUUGGUGAUUAAUGAAAAUAAUCUAAAGGUGAAAAUUAAAAGAAUGGAAUAUGCUUAACAUUUUAUACUGUUUUUUUAUAUAAAUAAAUUGUAUUAGUAGUCAGCUUUUUUUUUUUUUUUUUUUUUAAGAUAUGUAAGGCUACCUUAAUUAGAUCAAGCAAUAAGAUGCAAAAACAUCAGCUUCAGGAGCAAUAGGAACAGAGAACAAAAAUAUAAAGUGGUCCCAUAUGUCUGAUUUCAAAAAAAGUUCUUCCCUAAAAAUUCUUCCCAAGUUGAUGAAAAAAAGUAACCAUAAUUCUCUUUAUUCUUUUUUCUUCCAGGUCUUCAUUGUCUGUUAUAAAUUGUAAGAAAUUAGGUGAAGAUUAAUUAUAUAGCAUCAAAAAAUGGCAUCAUCAUAAAUUGUGAAGAUUGUGAAUUGUAAAGAUUAAUUAUAUAUCAUCAAAAUAGAACUUAAAAUAUAAAUCUUAAAUGUGAAAAAAUGUGUUUUCCUCAUUAAUGUGUGUUAUUUAACUUGCUUUGGUUGUGCACUUUUAAUGCUUUGGCAGAUCCCUUGGUAGAUGGUUUGCACAAGUUCUAAUGAACACACGAUGUUAUGUUUCUGAUAAGGUGCAAAACACGUUCCCAUUAAAUGCAUCAUGCUGUGCA